UAAUAAUUUGGUUUUAGUUAUGUUUGUUAAUUUUUGCUUAAUAAUACAUGUUAGAUUUAUGUUUAAUAGUUCGGUUUCCUAUAAUAUUUAUUUUAUAAAAUAUUUAAUAUAUUUAUAAUGAAUAGGUUUAGUAGUAUUUAGUAUAUUUAUUAAUAUUAUUUUAUGGGUACUCAGUAUUUAAAAUUAUACAAUGAAUGAAAGUUUUAUAUAGAUAUUGUAAGUAAGAACUGGUUAAUACUUGUGCCAGCAGCUGCGGUUAUACAGGAAGUUCAAAUUAAGAUUUUGUAGUAGAAAGUAAAGUUUGGUAAUUAAAAUAUAUACAUUCUGUAUAUAUAUAUACAUAUAGGAAAUUAUAUUAAUAUAUAAUUAGGUAAAAUUUAUUAUUAUUUUGGAUUUUAUAAUUUUUUAAAAAAUUUAUUCUUUGAAAAUUUGAAAAUAAACUAGGAUUAGAUACCCUAUUAUUUCAUUAUUGUAAAAAUUGAUUUUUAGCUCUACUUAGGUAUUAAGAAUUAUAAAAGUUAUUUAUUUAUUUAAAACUUAAAAGAUUUGGCGGUUUCACAUAUCCAUUUAGGGGAGCUUGUUAAUAUAAUAUGAUAUUCCUCGAUUUAAACUUACUUUUUUUUGAAAUAAACAGUUUGUGUAUUGCUGUCGUUAGUUUAUGUUUUAAGAAUUUAUAUAUAAAAAACUUUAAAAUUAAUGAGUUUUUAUGUCAAGUCAAAAUGCAGCUAAUAAAAAAGGUUUAAUGAGCUACUUUUUAUAAAUUUAAAUUCCGGUUUUAAAAUUUAAUUGUUUUUAGUAAGGUGGACUUAAUAGUAAUAAAUAAAAUAGUUAGUUUUUAUGAAUGUUGGUUUUGUGUUGUGUACAUAUCGCCCGUCGCUCUUGUUUUUAGAUAAGAUAAGUCGUAACAUAGUAAGGGUAAUGGAAGUUGUUCUUGGAAUAAU
rnacentral:ncRNA from 1 species